UGCUCUGGGGUCGAGAAAGUCUGAGCUGCACGUGGCAAUGCAACCAGGUGGCUCGCUGAGUCGCAACACCAUUAACUAAUCCUUCACACCGAGACAUGGUGAGUCAACAGCGUUUCUACAGGGCACAUUCCUUGCUGACCUGACAACAGCAAAGAGGGCUACGUUAGCGCGAAGGCACACAAGGUUCUCUAAUUAGGCAAAUCCUAUACCGUGGAAGAAGUAGUGAACUCUC